UGAUUGUACAAAAAAACAAAAACAGUGGCUAUCUGUACAUCUAUGCCAAGCUCAAACCAGUACAGAAGGCAUCAAUAAAUUGUUGGGGAGGGUCAUGCCU